ACUUCGGUUAAACACUCUUAGUGGCGAACGGGUGAGUAACGCGUUGGUGACCUGCCCCGAAGUGGGGACAACAGCUCGAAAGGGCUGCUAAUACCCCAUGUGGUGCCAGAGGUUAGAGGCUUUGGCAAGAAAGGAGUAAUCCGCUUCGGGAGGGGCCUGCGUCCCAUCAGCUAGUUGGUAGGGUAACGGCCUACCAAGGCGAAGACGGGUAGGGGGCCUGAGAGGGUGACCCCCCACAAUGGAACUGAAACACGGUCCAU
rnacentral:rRNA from 1 species